GAGGGUAUAGCUCAGUGGUGGAGUGUGUGCUUAGCAUGCUUGAGGUCCUGGGGUCCAUCCCCAGUACCUCCA
rfam:Camelus ferus unplaced genomic scaffold scaffold1862, whole genome shotgun sequence.